rnacentral:rRNA from 1 species
GCAGCAGUAGGGAAUCUUCCGCAAUGGACGAAAGUCUGACGGAGCAACGCCGCGUGAGUGAAGAAGGUUUUCGGAUCGUAAAACUCUGUUGUAAGGGAAGAACAAGUACGUUAGUAACUGAACGUACCUUGACGGUACCUUACCAGAAAGCCACGGCUAACUACGUGCCAGCAGCCGCGGUAAUACGUAGGUGGCAAGCGUUAUCCGGAAUUAUUGGGCGUAAAGCGCGCGUAGGCGGUCUCUUAAGUCUGAUGUGAAAGCCCCCGGCUCAACCGGGGAGGGUCAUUGGAAACUGGGAGACUUGAGUGCAGAAGAGGAGAGUGGAAUUCCAUGUGUAGCGGUGAAAUGCGCAGAGAUAUGGAGGAACACCAGUGGCGAAGGCGGCUCUCUGGUCUGUAACUGACGCUGAGGUGCGAAAGCGUGGGGAUCAAACAGGAUUAGAUACCCUGGUAGUCCACGCCGUAAACGAUGAGUGCUAAGUGUUGGGGGGUUUCCGCCCCUCAGUGCUGCAGCUAACGCAUUAAGCACUCCGCCUGGGGAGUACGGUCGCAAGACUGAAACUCAAAGGAAUUGACGG